ACUCCUACGGGAGGCAGCAGUGGGGAAUUUUGGACAAUGGGCGAAAGCCUGAUCCAGCAAUGCCGCGUGCAGGAUGAAGGCCCUCGGGUUGUAAACUGCUUUUGUACGGAACGAAAAGCCUGGGGCUAAUAUCCCCGGGUCAUGACGGUACCGUAAGAAUAAGCACCGGCUAACUACGUGCCAGCAGCCGCGGUAAUACGUAGGGUGCAAGCGUUAAUCGGAAUUACUGGGCGUAAAGCGUGCGCAGGCGGUUUUGUAAGACAGUGGUGAAAUCCCCGGGCUCAACCUGGGAACUGCCAUUGUGACUGCAAGGCUAGAGUGCGGCAGAGGGGGAUGGAAUUCCGCGUGUAGCAGUGAAAUGCGUAGAUAUGCGGAGGAACACCGAUGGCGAAGGCAAUCCCCUGGGCCUGCNCUGACGCUCAUGCACGAAAGCGUGGGGAGCAAACAGGAUUAGAUACCCUGGUAGUCCACGCCCUAAACGAUGUCAACUGGUUGUUGGGUCUUAACUGACUCAGUAACGAAGCU
rnacentral:rRNA from 1 species